GGAGAUGUGGCUCAGAGGUAGAGUGCUUGCCUAGCAUGCUGUAGACUCAAGGUUCAAUCCCUAGCAACCCCA
rnacentral:tRNA from 1 species